rnacentral:lncRNA from 1 species
CGCAGUUUCCUACGGAUCCGAAAGUGGGGCGCGCUGAGGGAGGGUCACGGUGCUCUGCUUUCUAGUGCAAAUCUGUGCUGUUCCGUCCUCUUUAUUCCAGCCUCAGGGUGUGAGGGUCACUACAGACCUAAAAUCCCAGCACCCAGCUCUCCGCCAUGUAAAUCCAGACAUCGCUGCUCCAGAUUGCCUUCUAAAGAUUUACUUAGCCUGAAGAAGAAUCCUAGAAGAGGAGGAAGAGGAUAGAAAAAGAGUCAGAAAUGGCUUUUUCUCAGGUAAAGUCAUAGAAAUCUUUCACCUUGUUGGCCCAGUUUUUCCUCCGUGUUCUAUCCCUUUUGGUGCUGCUUAAUGUCUGUGUCACUUUUCUCUUCUGUUAAGAUGUGAACAGAUCUUUUCCCUAAUGACCUAUGAUGUAGAUACUUUAUAAAGCGUUGAGAGUAAUGCUUAGUAUUUAAGAAAUAUUCGAACAUCUUUAGUCAUUGCUCUUGUUAUCAUCAAAAUCAUUUAGAUUUUGUCUUUGCUUUAAAGCCAC